rnacentral:rRNA from 1 species
ACGGCUCAGUAACACGUGGAUAACCUGCCCUUGGGUCCGGCAUAACCCCGGGAAACUGGGGAUAAUACCGGAUAACGCAUAUAUGCUGGAAUGCUUUAUGCGUCAAAUGGAUUCGUCUGCCCAAGGAUGGGUCUGCGGCCUAUCAGGUAGUAGUGGGUGUAAUGUACCUACUAGCCGACGACGGGUACGGGUUGUGAGAGCAAGAGCCCGGAGAUGGAUUCUGAGACAUGAAUCCAGGCCCUACGGGGCGCAGCAGGCGCGAAAACUUUACAAUGCGGGAAACCGUGAUAAGGGGACACCGAGUGCCAGCAUCAUAUGCUGGCUGUCCAGGUGUGUAAACUACACCUGUUAGCAAGGGCCGGGCAAGACCGGUGCCAGCCGCCGCGGUAACACCGGCGGCCCGAGUGGUGAUCGUGAUUAUUGGGUCUAAAGGGUCCGUAGCCGGUUUGGUCAGUCCUCCGGGAAAUCUGACGGCUCAACCGUUAGGCUUUCGGGGGAUACUGCCAGGCUUGGAACCGGGAGGGGUAAGAGGUACUACAGGGGUAGGAGUGAAAUCUUGUAAUCCCUGUGGGACCACCUGUGGCGAAGGCGUCUUACCAGAACGGGUUCGACGGUGAGGGACGAAAGCUGGGGGCACGAACCGGAUUAGAUACCCGGGUAGUCCCAGCCGUAAACGAUGCUCGCUAGGUGUCAGGCAUGGCGCGACCGUGUCUGGUGCCGCAGGGAAGCCGUGAAGCGAGCCACCUGGGAAGUACGGCCGCAAGGCUGAAACUUAAAGGAAUUGGCGGGGGAGCAC